rnacentral:rRNA from 1 species
ACGGCUCAGUAACAGCGCGGAUACUCUGCCCUUGGGAGGAGGAUAACCUCGGGAAACUGAGAAUAAUACUCCAUAAGUCUAGGAUGCUGGAAUGCACUUAGACUAAAAACUUCGGUGCCCAAGGAUGAGUCUGCGAACUAUCAGGUUGUAGUUAGGGUAACGACCUGACUAGCCUACGACGGAUACGGGUUGUGAGAGCAAUAACCCGGAGAUGAUAUCUGAGACACGAUAUCAGGCCCUACGGGGCGCAGCAGGCGCGAAAACUUCGCAAUGUGCGAAAGCACGACGAGGGAAUCCCAAGUGCUGGCUCGUUAGAGUCAGCUGUUUUUAUGUCUAAAACGCAUAAAGAGUAAGGGCUGGGUAAGACGGGUGUCAGCCGCCGCGGUAAUACCUGCAGCUCAAGUGGUGGCCGCAAUUAUUGGGCCUAAAACGUCCGUAGCCGGUUUAUUAAAUGCCUAGGUAAAUUGUGUGGCUUAACCAUACGAAUUCUGGGUAGACUGGUAAACUUGAAACCGGGAGAAGCUAGAGGUACUUCUGGGGUAGAGGUGAAAUUCUG